AAGCUCUCAUCCAGUUGAUGGCUGCUGCAGUGGCUGAACGGGACAUGGCUUACUUCACCUUUAACAAUAAACAACUUGCAAAGGAUGUACAGGAAAUGUAUAAGAUACUGACCGUAAACAAAGUGACUGUGGAUAAACUCUACAAAUGGCUGAAGGAGUUCUGUGUACAAUAUUCUGGUAAACAUCACUCAACAGCAGAUGUGUACGGAUUCAUCAGAGAGAAGAUAGGCUAUAUGGCUAGCUUACUGUAAAUCUGUCUGGCUACUGUGAGAUCCAUGAGCUCACUUCAAAAAAACUGUAGUUAAAAACAGUUCAGCAGUAUUAAAUCUGUAAAGCUGUAUUGAAUGUAUAAGAUUUCUGAAGGAUAAGAGUAAUGAAGUACCAGUACUUAAAAAAAAAAAAAAAAAACUGCUGUAAUAUAUUUGGUUAUGGACCACAGGUGUCAUAUACACUUAAUUGUUUACCUUAAAGUACUUUAUAAUCAGACUCAGUCAAGAUUCCUAUUAAUCAAAGGCCUUGGUGUCAUUCGAUAAAGUGCACAAGACACAUCUUUAUUAAUGCAAAAAUAAUCUGUGUUCAUGUUAAAUAUGUUCUUGCAUCACUUAUUAGUACAAACAAGCAAACAGUUUGAACUCGGAUGCUUUAUUGAAUGAAAUAUUAUAACAGUAGUCUGGAAUAAACGUAAGCCUAAGAAAAUAAAUAAUUUUAUUUAAUGUCCUGAAAAGUGUCUUUUUUUUUUUUUUUUUUU